GAUGAACGCUGGCGGCGUGCCUAAUACAUGCAAGUCGAGCGAACAGACGAGGAGCUUGCUCCUCUGACGUUAGCGGCGGACGGGUGAGUAACACGUGGAUAACCUACCUAUAAGACUGGGAUAACUUCGGGAAACCGGAGCUAAUACCGGAUAAUAUAUUGAACCGCAUGGUUCAAUAGUUAAAUACGGUUUUUCUGUCACUUAUAGAUGGAUCCGCGCCGCACUAGCUAGUUGGUAAGGUAACGGCUUACCAAGGCUACGAUGCGUAGCCGACCUGAGAGGGUGAUCGGCCACCCGGGAACUGAGACACGGUACAGACACCUACGGGAGGCAGCAGUAGGGAAUCUUCCGCAAUGGGGGAAAGCCUAACGGAGCAACGCCGCGGGAGUGAUGAAGGUCUUCGGAUCGUAAAACUCUGUUAUUAGGUAAGAACAAAUGUGUAAGUAACUAUGAACGUCUUGACGGUACCUAAUCAGAAAGCCACGGCUAACUACGUG
rnacentral:rRNA from 1 species